AUCUAAAGCGGGUCGACCUUUACAUUUGACAAUUCAAAAUAGAAUGUGAUCAAUAAAUUGAGUGCGACAAUUUAACAUGUUCGAAUCAGUUUCAAUCGUGUGUUUUGUGUUUUUGUAUAUUGGUAACGCUUUGCAGUGGUAUACGCGUAUUCAAGCAUACUUUCCGCUGAUUUUGUUAAUAGGGAUUGAUAAGUUUCUCGCGUGAUCCACCUGUCAAAGCGCUGUCGUCUACUUGUUCCAGCGUCUAACAGCGACAAUUGUCAUUCUGAGUUAGUCUUUCAAUCGUUUAGCAUCGAAACUCCGUCAGUACAUCAAAAUAGUCAACACCCAACACAAGCUACGCAUCGAAGAGCGCCGCUAAUAACAAUCGUUCUACGUACGACAUAAAAUCCACGAAUCGAAGAUGUCUAAACGUGAGGAAGAAUUGUUGAAUAAAUCGUAUGGAAGCUCGUCAAAUGAUUCGGAUUUAAGUGGAGCGGGAGUUUUUACAGCUGACGAACUUGGUCAUAAGCUUAAAUUGGAUCCUAUAGUAACAAAAUGGCUCAAAAAACAACCGCCAAAUGAGGAUGAUCCCCUAUUGAUUCUAGCUUAUAAAAGUGGCUUUUUUAAUUUGGAAAAUUUCAAAUACCGUAAGGAUUUAGUUACCAGCAGCUUGAUAGCAAACGGUGGUCAACAAGUAAGCGGAGAAGUGUUCCAAUUUGACGAUUGGCCUACACUCUUUAACGCACGUGACAGAAUGAUAAGUGAAAUGCCAUGGGCAUUUUAUUCGUCCUACCCUGGUAUUCUUCAGUUGAAUGGUCAUCAGUUCGGUCAGGAGGUCACAAUUUCAACCACAUUGAUAAUGUUUUAUGCAGAAGAUCAAGACAAAUUACAACAAUUCCCAUAUGAAUUUUUUAAGAUUUGAAAAUUGAAAAAUGUUCAAAGUUUUUUUUUAAGUAUACAAUUGGUUCAUCAACAAUACAGCCGGCACGGGACCGGACAUUUACAUUACAAUUUUCAUAUAAUUUAAAUAAAAAAUAGAAUAAAAAAAAUAAAAAAAAUGUAAAUUCAUAUCCCACAACUGGUGGUUACAACAACUAUGAUAAUUUGAAAUAUUGUACAAUUCGACCAUUUUUCCGUUUCGAUUUCUUUUCUGUAUUCAAAAAAAAGGGAAAAUGAUGUUACUAAAAAUAUACAGUAUGUCUCAUUAUAUAAAGCCAUCGAUUUUUCAUAUUAAAA